rnacentral:rRNA from 1 species
AACGAACGCUGGCGGCAGGCCUAACACAUGCAAGUCGAACGCGUGUAGCAAUACACGAGUGGCGCACGGGAGAGUAACGCGUGGGAACCUACCUUUUGGUUCGGGAUAACGUCGGGAAACUGACGCUAAUACCGGAUAAGCCCCUUGGGGGAAAGAUUUAUCGCCGAUAGAUGGGCCCGCGUUAGAUUAGCUAGUUGGUGAGGUAACGGCCCACCAAGGCUACGAUCUAUAGCUGGUCUGAGAGGAUGAUCGGCCUCACUGGGACUGAGACACGGCCCAGACUCCUACGGGAGGCAGCAGUGGGGAAUAUUGGACAAUGGGGGCAACCCUGAUCCAGCCAUGCCGCGUGAAUGAUGAAGGCCUUCGGGUUGUAAAAUUCUUUUGGUGGGGACGAUGAUGACGGUACCCACAGAAUAAGCUCCGGCUAACUUCGUGCCAGCCGCCGCAGUAAGAC